AUCAAAGUUCACGCGACGUUACGCAAAGUAAUCAAAGGGAAAUAACUCUUAUGAAAAACGCUGACUUUGACUUGCAACCAGCUAUGAACUACGUGUUUUGGCAAAGAAAAUGAAAAUUAAAGGCAGAUGCAUGUAUAGGCAUUUUGUGAAUAAACAAGUGUGCCAUUAGUAUUCUGUUACCCCAUCCUUUUCAAAUAAUUUAUAUUUUAAAAAUGUUUACCUUUUCAAACAUUCCGUAAAAAUAUUACCGUUUCUCAUAUUGUUUGAGUUCAAUGUGGUAAGUAAUGUAACAGUGUAAUACAGGUACUAAAGUUUCAAAAAACAGAAAAUUGGUUGAAAAAAUACAGCUUGGAACACCAAGAAAGAUGACCUUAUCAUAUAUUUCUAAUAGUUUUCCCAACCGAUUCACAUAUUUCCAAGCAUAAAACUGUUAUAUAUUCUAGUGGCACGUUCUAUCUCCUUGUAUAUAGUAAAUGCCCCUUCUUUUCUUCACCGAAGAUUACCAUAACUGUUGCAGUCCUGUAUCUAAAAAUCAACAUUCGUCACUUUCUCUGAUUAAUUUGCAUUUUUCAUGACGUCCAUAAUUGCGAAUCCACCUC
rnacentral:lncRNA from 1 species